rnacentral:lncRNA from 1 species
UGGAUUGCUCAACUAGAAUCGUCUUUGGCUGAUAAAAUUCAUUGUUUGAGCCAUGAAGAGCUCCCAUCCCAUGGAAUUCUCUAUUGGGAUGCUAUUCAGUCACGUUUUAACCUUCGCAUUAGGGCCAGUGGCGUUAUUCAACGAUGCUUUGCCCACUUCGGUUCCCUGAUGACAACCGCCUUCGCAGUUGCAAGUUGCAACGUCCAACCCCGCAGUACGGAGUUCCAGCUGUGCGAUCACGACAAUAGCGAUCGGCAUCCACCAGUCCACACGUCAUCGCAAGAAUAGCGAAAACGACAGAGAUGCUGCACGAAUAAAUUUGGCAUCGCUGUUGGUAUUUCCUACAACUACAUGUACGGACAGAAGAAAACAAAAUAUUAGUCAACGUGGUGAUCUUGAACGACUUGUUGCGUUUUCAUGGUCGUGACGAUUCUUUGUUUACACAUUGCUCUGUACUUGUAUUUCUGUUUAUACUUGGAUAAGGAUACAGUGUGAGUUAUCAGUUCGACUAGUGCUAGAGUUCUCUGUCUUGUAGUGGCAAUGUCAUGUGUCUUAACAGUUGCUGCAUUUAUUGUGGGAAAAAAAAUAUUGUGAACGACGUCGUCUAUGGAUUGGUGCUGAGCAAUCUGUAGACUUGCUUAAUGCUCCUUCACCCAGUUCACCAUGCACGUUUUUAUUAACAAGUGAAAAAAGAAAAGACAAAACGAUCAGCUGAUUGCCAUACGGUGGUGUUGAUUUUGGGAGUGCAAAAGCCACAAACUAACCGCCUAUUGCAAACCAAACGUCUGUCGAUGGCUUUUCUAUGUUAAAAUGAAAUAAGUUCUCUAUUCCAAUUUUGGGUACUCCCUUGCAGUUGGUUGAAAAUUUUUCAAGCGCCAACUGCAUGACGGGAUGUUGGUAGUCGGCAUGGAUGAUUUCAUUUGCCACAAAGUAGUCAUCCAAAAUAUGUGAAGUAUAAAUGUGAUAUAAUUGUGUUUCGAAUAAAUAUUGUGAAUUGCUCUAAAUAUUGUUCUUAUCGCCAUUAGAUGUUAAAAAAUAUAUAUUUCAUCAUCAAACUUGAAAA